rnacentral:rRNA from 1 species
UAUGGAGGAUGCAAGCGUUAUCCGGAUUUAUUGGGUUUAAAGGGUGCGCAGGUUGUUUGAUAAGUCAGUGGUGAAAGUCUGUCGCUUAACGGUAGGAUUGCCAUUGAUACUGUUGGACUUGAAUAUGGAUGAGGUAGGCGGAAUGUGUAGUGUAGCGGUGAAAUGCAUAGAUAUUACACAGAACACCGAUUGCGAAGGCAGCUUACUAAUCCAUCAUUGACGCUGAGGCACGAAAGCGUGGGGAGUCAAA